rnacentral:rRNA from 1 species
UACGUAGGGUGCGAGCGUUGUCCGGAAUUAUUGGGCGUAAAGAGCUUGUAGGCGGUUUGUCGCGUCUGCUGUGAAAAUCCGGGGCUCAACCCCGGACUUGCAGUGGGUACGGGCAGGACUAGAGUGUGGUAGGGGAGACUGGAAUUCCUGGUGUAGCGGUGAAAUGCGCAGAUAUCAGGAGGAACACCGAUGGCGAAGGCAGGUCUCUGGGCAUUAACUGACGCUGAGGAGCGAAAGCAUGGGGAGCGAACAGG